GUCCACGCCGUAAACGAUGGGUACUAGGUGUUCUGGGUAUUGACCCCCUGAGUGCCGCAGCUAACGCAUUAAGUACCCCGCCUGGGGACUACGUCCGCAAGGCUAAAACUCAAAGGAAUUGACGGGGGCCCGCACAAGCGGUGGAGCAUGUGGUUUAAUUCGACGCAACGCGAAGAACCUUACCUGGGCUAGACAACAUCGGACAACCCCAGAAAUGGGGCCUCCCCGCAAGGGGCCGUGGUUCAGGUGCUGCAUGGCUGUCGU
rnacentral:rRNA from 1 species